rnacentral:lncRNA from 1 species
GUCUGUCUGUCUGUCUCUCUUUUCUUUUUUCUUUCUCUGCCCAUAGAAGCAGGAGAGUACUGUAUCCCCUGUCACAGCCAAGCAAAAAGAGAAAAAUCGGAAUUCUAGCCCUGUCUGUAAAGUAAAAGGGACAAAUUAGUUUCUUGUCAGGGUACUGCAAUAAAUACAUUGUCAUUUUUAUCCCCCAGUGAAUCAUAGUCUCCAUUUUCCCCGUAACUAUUAUACAGUCUGCUGGCACUAUAUCAUUUUUUGGUAAUUUUAUUUUCACCAAUUGUUUUAUGAAAUUUUUGAGUUUUAUGGACACUAAAACAAAUCUCGGCUGCGAGUGUUAUAGCCCUUUAAAUCAUCAGCAGGGAAUCUCAAGGUUCCUCCAGACUGUGGGAGAAGGAGGCUUUAGGAAAGAAAGAUUGCCCCUCGCUUAUAAACUGAGCAAAAACCCAGAGAUAAGUUUGUAAAAGGGACAUAGAUCAUGGUGGGUGAAAACUGGGGUGUAAAACAUUCCUCUGCUCAGCUCCUGGAAGAAUAAAAAUGGACUUUUAUUUAGCCAAAGCACUAAAGUAGUUGGGAAAAGGAACACACAAGUGUUUCUCUGCUUUCUUAACCAUAACAAUCCCUAUUUCCUGUGAGCCAAACAUCACUUGGGCUGAGCUGGCCUGGGUUGGGGUGGGGGCGGGAGUGAAGCUUGGCUACAAAGUCUGUAGGAAUGCUCUAACGCUAUUUCUCUAAUAGGAGGGAAACCAAGCUAGAGGAAUUCUGGAGAAAACCAGUCUUUGGGGAUUUGUGUGUCCUGUGUUCCUCCUUGACUUCUGAGACAGGGGCUCGACAGGUCUGUGACAGCGGGCAGAUGGGCCCGUGAUCGAUGUGCUCCCCCUGCGCAAGGACAGCCGGAUGAAGGUGCAAACAGCCUGGCUAAUAGAUGAGAGAUGCAGAGCGAGGCUGAUAAGGCCCCAGUGCCCGAACUGUGAUGAAUGGGGAAGGAUGCAGUGGGCUAUUUAUUUCCAAGAAAUGAGUGACUUCUGGGGAAAGGCGAGUGGGGAAGAGAGUGGAAAAGAAGAGGCAAAAGGAGCUCGGCUACUUUGCUUCUCAUAAUCCUGGACAUCUGUCUGCAAGAGCUCUGUCCUGCUGGGAUGUUCAGACACCAGGUGCUACUGUGUUUCCUGCUCCCAACAUCCUUCUGCUGGGCAAGUACCUUCACAUCAUCUUGGCUUUAACCAGCACUCUAUUAGAUAAGAUGGCCCACAUGACAUCACUGCUUUGUACUACUUUUAUAUUUCCAGAGCCUCUCAAAGGUGAAUGCCCUCAUUCUUAAUUCUACCACUUGUGAUUUUGUGGAUGUAGACCUCUUCUCUGGACAAGGCUUCCUGCUUUCCCUCCUUAGGUCUUGAUUUUCCUUCUGCUAUUUUUCUCAUCAUCUCUCUUUUGUAGUCUUCCUUCCAUUUGGGAACAGUUUAUCUCCACGAUUUAUUACCACAUCUUCAUUCUUUCACUGUGGACAGGACUUGAAGCUUGUCUCCUGAUUGCUGUAGUGUUCUGCCUCCUUUCCUUUAAACCACAGAUACCUGACUGUAGAAGUAUAAUUCUGCACAGCACUUUCUCACUUACUUCCUUUAGUGGCAAAUUUAAAAGCUGCCUCCUAAUCAAGUUUGCCCUCUUGUUCCA